rnacentral:rRNA from 1 species
AGUGAACGCUGGCGGUAGGCCUAACACAUGCAAGUCGAACGGCAGCACAGUAAGAGCUUGCUCUUACGGGUGGCGAGUGGCGGACGGGUGAGGAAUACAUCGGAAUCUACUUUUUCGUGGGGGAUAACGUAGGGAAACUUACGCUAAUACCCCAUACGACCUACGUGUGAAAGCAGGGGAUCUUCGGACCUUGCGCGAUUGAAUGAGCCGAUGUCGGAUUAGCUAGUUGGCGGGGUAAAGGCCCACCAAGGCGACGAUCCGUAGCUGGUCUGAGAGGAUGAUCAGCCACACUGGAACUGAGACACGGUCCAGACUCCUACGGGAGGCAGCAGUGGGGAAUAUUGGACAAUGGGCGCAAGCCUGAUCCAGCCAUACCGCGUGGGUGAAGAAGGCCUUCGGGUUGUAAAGCCCUUUUGUUGGGAAAGAAAAGCAGCAGGUUAAUACCCCGAUGUUCUGACGGUACCCAAAGAAUAAGCACCGGCUAACUUCGUG